AAUCAACGCUGGCGGCGCGCCUAAUACAUGCAAGUCGAGCGAGAAGACGUAGCAAUACGUUUGUAAAGCGGCGAACGGGUGAGGAAUACAUGGGUAACCUACCCUAGAGUGGGGAAUAACUAGCCGAAAGGUUAGCUAAUACCGCGUACGCUCCUUGGACUUCGGUUCAGGGAGGAAAGCGAUACCGAGGGUAUCGCGCUCUUGGAUGGGCUCAUGUCCCAUCAGCUUGUUGGUGAGGUAACGGCUCACCAAGGCUUCGACGGGUAGCUGGUCUGAGAGGACGAUCAGCCACACUGGCACUGCGACACGGGCCAGACUCCUACGGGAGGCAGCAGUAAGGAAUAUUGCGCAAUGGGCGAAAGCCUGACGCAGCGACGCCGCGUGGGUGAUG
rnacentral:rRNA from 1 species